rnacentral:rRNA from 1 species
CCGCGGUAACACGUAGGGGCGAGCGUUGUUGGGAAUUACUGGGCGUAAAGGGGCAUGUAGGCGGUUUUGUAAGCCAGGCGUGAAAGACCGGAGCUUAACUGCAGGACUGCGCUGGGAACUGCGGGCUUGAGUGACGGAGAGGAAGCUGGAAUUCCGGGUGUAGGGGUGAAAUCUGUAGAUAUCGGGAAGAACACCGACGGCGAAGGCAACUUCCUGGCCGAUGACUGACUGUGAGGUGCGAAAGUGUGGGGAUCAAACGGGAUGAGAUACCCUGGUAGUCCACACUGUAAACGAUCUGCACUAGGUGGUGGGGC